rnacentral:rRNA from 1 species
GGACGAACGCUGGCGGCGUGCUUAACACAUGCAAGUCGAGCGGUAAGGCCCUUUCGGGGGUACGACGAGCGGCGGAACGGGUGAGUAACACGUGGGUGACCUGCCCUCAGCUCUGGGAUAAGCCUGGGAAACCGGGUCUAAUACUGGAUAUGACUCCAUGACGCAUGUUGUGGGGUGGAAAGCCUUGUGCGGCUGAGGAUGGGCCCGCGGCCUAUCAGCUUGUUGGUGGGGGUGAGGCCCUACCAAGGCGACGACGGGUAGCCGGCCUGAGAGGGCGACCGGCCACACUGGGACUGAGACACGGCCCAGACUCCUACGGGAGGCAGCAGUGGGGAAUCUUGCGCAAUGGGCGAAAGCCUGACGCAGCGACGCCGCGUGAGGGAUGACGGCCU